rnacentral:misc_RNA from 1 species
UUCCAUCUGUUACACAAGCCUCUAAUCUUCCUUUCCUUCUCCUUGUGUCUCUGUUGCCUCAAUUAUAUCAAUAAAUUCAGCGCUUGUUUCUAAAGAAAAAGGAAAAAUGGAUGCACCAGCUUAUCAAGAGAUGUCAUAUACUGAUCAUGUUAAGAGGCGCCAUGAGGAGAAAGGCUGCCUCUAUGCUUGCUUGUUUGCUCUGUGUUGCUGUUUUUGCUGCUACGAGACUUGUGAAUGUUGCUUAGAUAUUCUCUGCUGCUGCUGCUAAAACACUAGUCUGGCUUCGGUUUGCUUUUAUCAUUUGCCAUUAAUAAUUACUGCUGUUAUUGUUAUCGUCUCCUCUCAGUGACAACUGAGCCCGUAGAAGAGAGUGACUCUGUAUCUGUUCGGUAAAUAAAAUCUCAAGUCAUAACUCUCUGAAACCCGUG